GGUAAUCUCGCCACAUGUGGAGAAAUGGUUAGUCAAAGCAUUCUUCAAAUCAUCUUUAGUAAGUAAAGUGUCAUAUCCAGUAACGGAUAUGCCUUCGCUACUGCAAGAGUAAAAAAAAUGCAUUGUAUUAUAUUGUUUACACAACUUACAUAAGCCGAAAAUGUCAACAGCAUAAAUAAUAACUUACCGCUUUCUUCGAUUAUGUGCCACGCUCCUAGCAGCGAGUACAUCAGUACUCAACCCAGUGCUGAGUUCACUGAGUUCUGGAGGCAAACUCGUAACGACAAUCUUACUUCCUCCAAUGUCACUUCCAUUGAGUUGCAAGGCUUUGUCUCCUGCGCCUUCUCCACGAAGGAUAACAAUGCACGACCUCUGGAGUGCAUUUGUCACUGGAUCUCUGCGAAUCUGGAUGUUGUGGACUUCUCCACAUAUCUUGAAAAGACUCUCCAAAGCCCGGAAGAGAUCAAUAGGUUUAAGGGAAGUACUGUACCCUUCAACACCGAUCCUUAUCCUAAUUGUUCAAUAGAAUCAAUUAGCAAACACAUUUGAAAGCGAAGGUAUUUAUCUUUUAUUACUUCACGUCUUUACAUCAGAAUCAUAAUAUAAAUAUACACAUACAUUAGCUAGACCAAAUAAUAUAGCUAUUCAAUCUAAAACAAAUAAUAGAAUAUUUAUUGGUAUCUAUCAACAUUACACAAAAUCUCCAAAAAGCAAAGGAAAAAAAAAACAGAAAUCUAUUUACCUGCUUUUGACGUAAUCAUAGUACGACUUCAUAACGUCGACAUACUUAUCACCGUACAAAGUCCUCUUCCCCUAUAUUUAUAAGAAAAUGUAAUUAGAAUCCUUUAAAAAAUAAUAUAUAUAUAUAUAUGUAUAUUAAUUUAAAAACCGAAAAAGAUUGGGGACCAGAACAGUACAAUCGCCGACAAAAACAAACAGGAACAAAAGAGUUAGGAGAAGAGUUGGGUAAGAGAGAUAGAGAAGAAACAUGCACUGAGUUUGGGAAGAGAUAAACAGCGGGUCUUUGAAGCUCGAACAAUAAUCAAAAGCAAAGAAGGAGAGGGAGAGGGAGGCCUUCUCUCGAGCCGGAGAAGACCGCCGGAAGUAAGAGAUGAAAGAUAGUUUCGACAGAAAAGAAAAACAGAGUGACGACGCCGUUAGAUGCGCGGAGAAGAAAAACUCACCGUGUACGGAGCAGAAACCGGAGAAGAAGAUUCGGAUCUCUCCAUCGAGGCGUUGAGAAAAGCGAUCCUACGAGAAGAAGGUUCGGAUCUCUCCAUGGACUUUGAUAAGAUCGAUACUUUCGUCUUUAGGGAUUUUAGGAAGAAUAUCUUAUUUUCUGGCUCAGACUUUCAGGAACUUUAUACUUGGUUUUUUUUUUUUGGGUUCAAAUUAUACUUAGUGAUUUAAAGGUUAUUAUUAAUUAUUAAUAUAAAUAUAUAGCUAAGCAAAAUAAAAAGAACAUAAAAGGCACCGUUCUUUUUUUUUGGUACGUUGGAUAAAAGAUAGUGGAUGGUAUUUGUGGUAAAAACUUGUGUUUGGAUGUUUGGACGUUAAUGGUGAAGCAUUGUUAUUAACUCUCUGGUCUCUGAGCUUUGCAGGGCAGCUUUCGAUAUGUGUGAGUUCUUUGCAAGCAUGGUGAUCAUCAACAAAAAUCACAACUAACCUGUAAGUAUCUCUCUGGAGCUUGUAGUUUCUUUUGUGCAUGAUCUCGAAUACGAAAUCGUUAGACUUGUUUUUGUUUCGCAGAUCAACAUGUGCCAAUUCAUUUGUUUCACAGAGAUCACAUUUUUAUUUAUAAGCCAAGUACAUGUUUCUUUCUCUUGAGCUAUGUUUUCUUUAUAAGCAAAGCACUUGUUUCUUUCUCCUAUCUUAUUUUUCUCCAACAAUUUAAGAAUUUGUUUCUUAUUUAAAUUUUUAUGUAUCAUUUUCUUUCAAAUUAUUCAACUUAAAAAAAAAAAAAAAUUUAAGGACCUCAAUGAGGUUCUGGAGGAUGAAAAAAUUAAUUAGCUUAUCAAGGGUUCUUAACUUUUCAAAUCAACAAAUUAACUACUAAUUUAUUCAUAAGAACCCAUUGAGGUCUCUUACCAAUGGAGAUGGUCUUAUGUAGCUCUAUUAGAACCGCCGGUUACUAAUCGGGUUCGACACUUGAGCUGUUUCAGCGUUUUAAGAUUUUUACAAAAAAAAAUACAAAGGGCCAAAAAUAGCUUCUGGGCAAGUAUUUCUCAGGCCCAUACUGCCCACGAAUAAACCUAGUUGAUUUAUCAUCAACCCACCCAAGGACAUCUAUUUCAUAGGACGAAAAAAGGAUUGAACAUUCGUGUUUAGCAGAGCUCAUCGUGGAACAAGACUGCUUGAUUAUUUAUGAUCUGUCUCCCCUAAACUUCGAAUGUAAAUUUAAUAUGUCGGUGAUAUCAUCACACAAGAACUGUCAUGAUUGUUGAUAAUUUAUUUACAUGUUAGGCGGUUUUUGUUGUCGUUAUAGAUGGGUUAUUCGUAAAUAAUUCUCCAACGAUAAAUUCUUUCUUGGACGCAAUAAGAUAAAGUCGGUCGAGAAAACUCUUAUAAGUUCUACAUUCUCUGUUAUAAUCAAAUGAUUAAAAAAACAGUCCAUGUGAAUUUAAGCUAAAGAGCAGUAAUUAAACAUAUCCGAAAUAUAAGUUUUUUUGUAGUAAUCAAACAUAUCCGAAAUAUAAGUUUUUUUUUGGGUACUAAACAGAACAAGCAAACAAGCCGAAAUUCAUAAAAUAAAAUACUAAACCAGAAUUCCUCUCACAUCUGAUGUGCCCACCCAGUGAUCGUUGAGAGAGUGGCUGACCUGAAACGGUAACGCAAACGGGUCCAGGCACUACGACCUUUGGGUUUUGGAUAGGGCAAGGCUUUGACUACCAGUGUGCAGCCUCCUAGGUCGGUUCCAGACAGCUGAAGCGCUCGGUUGUUGGAGCCUUGUUCGUAGAAGUAGACCAGGGCACGGCUGCAAAGAAAAAGAAAAAACAAAGGAAACUAAGCGAAUUGGGUUUGGUAACAAAACUAGAGAACGGUUCCAACUUCUAACCUGUUGAGAACGAAAACGUCGGUAAUCUCGCCACAUGUGGAGAAAUGGUUAGUCAAAGCAUUCUUGACAUCAUCUUUAGUAAGAGAAGUGUCAUAUCCAGUAACGGAUAUGCCUUCGCUACUGCAAGAGUAAAAAAUUGCAUUGUAUUAUAUCGUUUACACGACUUACAUAAGCCGAAAAUGUCAACAGCAUACAUAAUAACUUACUACUUUCUUUUAUUAUGUGCCACGUUCCUAGCAGCGAGUACAUCAGUACUCAACCCAGUGCUGAGGUCGAGUCCUGGAGGCAAACUCGUAACGACAAUCUUCCUUCCUCCGAUGUCACUUCCAUUGAGUUGCAAGGCUUUGUCUCCUGCGCCUUCUCCACGAAGGAUAACAAUGCACGACUUCUGGAGUGCUUUUGUCACUCGAUCUCGGCGAAUCUCCAUGUUGUGGACUUCUCCACAUGUCUUGAAAAGACUCUCCAAAGCCCGGUAGAGAUCAAUCGGUUCAAGGGAAGUA
rnacentral:lncRNA from 1 species